rnacentral:rRNA from 1 species
UACGGAGGGUGCGAGCGUUGUCCGGAAUCACUGGGCGUAAAGGGCGCGUAGGCGGCGCGGGAAGUCAUCGGUGAGAGUUCAGGGCUCAACUCUGAAUCGGCCGGUGAUACUCUCGUGCUUGAGCACUGUAGAGGCAGGUGGAAUUCCGGGUGUAGCGGUGGAAUGCGUAGAGAUCCGGAAGAACACCGGUGGCGAAGGCGGCCUGCUGGGCAGUAGCUGACGCUGAUGCGCGACAGCGUGGGGAGCAAACAGG